rnacentral:ncRNA from 1 species
GCUUGUACUCAGGGCGGGGCGGAAUUCCCCACCGGCGGUAUCUCGGGGUUGACUCGGGGAGCCCGCGAGCGCCGCAAUCGCAGUUGUUGAGAAUGCGGGUCAGCAGAUCCGGUGAGAUGCCGGAGCCGACGGUCAUAGUCCGGAUGAAAGAGAACAGCG